rnacentral:rRNA from 1 species
AUGAAACACUCCCAGACCUUCGCCAUGGAAAAGGCCUGCACAAACCUCACCGAAGUCGUCCGUUCCGUGCGGCUGUUCAAGAUCGAUGGGUUUAGCAUGACCAUGGGCAUAGGCAGGGACUACAGCUUCAAUUCCAGAUGGAGUUUCGACGGGUAUGAUUGGGAAGUCCGUAUUUAUCCACGGACCAAUGAGGAAUUCAAUCGCUCCUGGGUGUCACUACGUCUUAUCUUUCUAAGUGAAGCCCGCACGUGUGCUGUGAGGACGACUCUACGCUGUUGCUUGGUAGAUCCAACAGGAAGGCUUAAGCCGUCUGAAGAAGAUUGCAGGUCAAUAAUAUUCAGGAAACCCCAAGAUAGCUCAUCUCAAGUGCCCCUCAUAACAAGAUGUGAACACCUCGAAUUAUCGGGUUAUGUCAAGGAUGACUCUUUUACUGUGCAAUGCACCCUUGAGGUUUUCAAGGAACUACCAGAUGUAGCAACGGUCUCCCUGAAAGAAGUGCAUCUCCCACCCUCUAACUUGCACCUGCAAUUUGCUCAGCUCCUUCAGAGCGAGACUGGAGCGGACGUCACAUUUCUCGUGUCUGGUGAGUCUUUUGCUGCGCACAAGCUCAUCCUCGCCGCAAGAUCCCCUGUUUGUAUGGCCGAGUUCUUUGGAGACAUGAAGGAGAAGUGCUCUCAGACUGUGGAGAUCAAGGACAUGGACGCUACCGUAUUCAAGGCCCUUCUUCAGUUCAUCUACACCGACACCGUGCCAGAAUUCGGACAACAGGUAGAGGCAGAUGUGGAGGCCAUCUAUACCGACACCAUGCCAGAAUUCGGACAGCAGGAGGCGGCGGUGACGGUGAUGGCUCAGCAUCUCCUUGCUGCCGCUGACAGGUAUGGACUGGACAGGCUGAAGCUCAUUUGCGCAGGCGAGCUCGCUGGUGGCAUCAACGUCAACACAGCAGCGACAACUUUGGCUUUAGCCGACCUGCACAACUGCCCGGAGCUCAAGGCGAGGUGUGUUGAGUUCAUCAUCAAAACUUCUGCCACUCUUGAUGCUGUGUUGGCGACAGAGGGGUAUAAGCACCUGGAGGCAAGCUGCCCUUUGGUGGUGAUUGACCUUUUCAAGGCUGCGCGUGGGAGAAAAAAUUGA